GACGAACGCUGGCGGCGUGCUUAACACAUGCAAGUCGAACGGAAAGACCCUGCGUUUGUGUGGUGCUCGAGUGGCGAACAGGGGAGUAACACGUGAGUAACCUGCCCCUGACUUUGGGAUAACAUCAGGAAACUGGGGCUCAUACCGGGUAGGAUCUCUUGCAGCAUGGUGGUGGAUGGAAAGUUUCGGCGGUUGGGGAUGGACUCGCUGGUUAUCAGCUGGAUGGUGGGGUAGUGGCUUACCAAGGCUUUGACGGGUAGCCGGCCUGAGAGGGUUACCGGCCACAUUGGGACUGAGAUACGGCCCAGACUCCUACGGGAGGCAGCAGUGGGGAAUAUUGCACAAUGGGCGGAAGCCUGAUGCAGCAACGCCGCGUGCGGGAUGCCGGCCUUCGGGUUGUAAACCGCUUUCGCCUGUGACGAAGCGAGAGUGACGGUAAUGGGUAAAGAAGCACCGGCUAACUACGUG
rnacentral:rRNA from 1 species